rnacentral:rRNA from 1 species
AUGAACGCUGGCGGCGUGCUUAACACAUGCAAGUCGAACGAAGCACUUUAUUUGAUUUCCUUCGGGACUGAUUAUUUUGUGACUGAGUGGCGGACGGGUGAGUAACGCGUGGGUAACCUGCCUUGUACAGGGGGAUAACAGUUGCAAACGUCUGCUAAUACCGCAUAAGCGCACAGCAUCGCAUGAUGCAGUGUGAAAAACUCCGUUGGUAUAAGAUGGACCCGCGUUGGAUUAGCUAGUUGGUGAGGUAACGGCCCACCAAGGCGACGAUCCAUAGCCGACCUGAGAGGGUGACCGGAGACAUUGGGACGGAGACACGGCCGAAAAUCUUACGCGAGGCAGCAGUGGGGAAUAUAGCACAAUGGGCGAAAGCCUGAUGCAGCGACGCCGCGUGAGCGAAGAAGUAUUUCGGUAUGUAAAGCUCUAUCAGCAGGGAAGAUAAUGACGGUACCUGACGAAGAAGCACCGGCUAAAUACGUG